ensembl:lncRNA
CCUUUAUUUGAAUAAACUAUUCAAGAUUUUUAAAAAAGCCACUGUUAAAAUAUGUAAAUUGAUCCAGGGAAGAACGCUCGGCUCACACGUAGUCUUUCAUAUCUCGAUGUUGUCCAUUACAAAGUGCAUCUCCUUUCCACUUUUUCAUGUCAUCUUGUCUUUAUUGGCAGCUUGUGUGCUGCUCUCUAUUGAUGAGAUCGUGCUGGCCCGUCCUGUGCUCUUCAGCGGAGAUCCAGAAGAGGAUGUGAUGUGAUGGACCACGAAAGGGCUGAUUCAGGCAGCGGCUCUCAGGGCUCUGUCAGGAGGCCUGCUACUCUUCCCACAACUCCCAGAAGUCCACACUGUUCCGGACAACAGAUAAAGUGCAGCAGUCACGGUUUUGAAAGCUACAGACUUUGAAACAUGAGAUGUGCAACAGAUUUAGGGUGAAGUUGUGUCUGAUUCAACCCGAGAAACCUACAAUCACCCGCUGAUGACCCCUUUACACUGCGAAUGAACCUUGGUGCUGCCCCAAAGAAGAAAAACAACUGGCGAUAUCUACUCUGCAAACGCUUCAGCAGGGCUCCGUUACAGCACCG